UACGGGGGGGGGCAAGCGUUUGUUCGGAAUUACUGGGCGUAAAGGGCUCGUAGGUGGCCAACUAAGUCAGACGUGAAAUCCCUCGGGCUAACCGGGGGAACUGCGUCUGAUACUGGAUGGCUUGAGUUGGGAGAGGGAUGCGGAAUUCCAGGUGUAGCGGUGAAAUGCGUAGAUAGUCUGGAGGAACACCGGUGGCGAAGGCGGCAUCCUGGACC
rnacentral:rRNA from 1 species